ACUUUUACGAGUCAUAACUAUAUGCCAAAGCUACAUGCAUGCCAAGUUUUACGCUUUUUUCCGGAUGGGACCGUAUUUAAAGCUAAGGAGCCAUACAUUUGCUAAC